UGGGGAAUAUUGCGCAAUGGGGGGAACCCUGACGCAGCAACGCCGCGUGGAGGAAGAAGGCCUUCGGGUUGUAAACUCCUGUCUUUAGGGACGAUAAUGACGGUACCUAAGGAGGAAGCCACGGCUAACUACGUGCCAGCAGCCGCGGUAAUACGUAGGUGGCGAGCGUUGUCCGGAAUUACUGGGCGUAAAGGGUGCGUAGGCGGAUACUUAAGUCAGAUGUGAAACUCCGGGGCUUAACUUCGGGACUGCAUUUGAAACUGGGUAUCUAGAGUGCAGGAGAGGGAAGCGGAAUUCCUAGUGUAGCGGUGAAAUGCGUAGAUAUUAGGAAGAACACCAGUGGCGAAGGCGGCUUUCUGGACUGUAACUGACGCUGAGGCACGAAAGCGUGGGGAGCGAACAGG
rnacentral:rRNA from 1 species